CCGCAUACUAGGAAUAACGGUCUCACCUUAAGUGAGUGAAAUGGGAAUCCGGUGAAAAUCCGGGACAGCCCCCGCUACUGUGAGUGAAUACGAAAUCUCAGGUGCCACUGCAGCUGAUGCUGCGGGAAGGCGAGAGAGUAGGUAAGUCACGAGUCAGGAGACCAGCCGAUUAUCCUUUUGUGAU
rnacentral:ncRNA from 1 species